rnacentral:ncRNA from 1 species
UACUUGGUUGAUCCUGCCAAGGAAGCACACUUAGGUCAUAGAUUAAGCCAUGCAAGUGUUAGUUCAGUAACGAAACUGCGAAUAGCUCAUUAAUACGCUCAGAAUCUAUUUGGCGGCGACCAACAGUCUUAAAU